CGCUCACAUUCACAGCUACGGAGAAUUUUGAGUCACCAGUUAGCCUGCAGGGAAUGUGGAGAAAACCUACACUGACACGGAGAGAGCAUGCAAACUCCACACAGAAGGGCUGCAGCCAGCUGGUGGACUUGAACCUGGAACCCUCUUGCUGUGAGAUGACAGUACUAACCACUGCAUCACUGUGCUGCCGAUCAUGAGCAUUAGGGACACUUUUCCCAACACAGUUUCAUCAGAUGUCACAGAUCUGCAAGGACGGAGUCACAGAGAAUGAAAUGAAGUCGGUUUGUGACUGCUCACAUGCCUUGAGGAAAACGGUCAAUCGCUGUCACAUCCUGAGUGGAAGCUGGAGGGGAAAUUGACUGUUUUUUCAUCAACACCAAAGUCACCACCGACUUGUUGACUCAGUGGGAAGGAAGAGAUUAACUGGCGUGCAUAUGGGGCACAGACCUCCAGUGUGACCUUAUUUUUGGCCAAGCACCGAUUUUUGGAGGAUAUUUUCAUUCUAAUUGUGUUUCUUUCUAACAUAAUUACCUCCUCAUAGCACUCCAUAUACAGAAUGUUAACCUACAGUACUACGACAAAAAAUGGGGCUGUCACUUUUUAUUUGAAAACCAACAACAAUACUGUUUAAACGUAGUAAAAUGAAAUGUACAGUCUGUUAUCAUCCAUUCAAAUUGCUGCUACAGGGCAAUAAAAAUUGUCAUGGCAAUAAACCCUUUUAUAAC